UUCUCUCAUCCAUCUAUUCUACUUUUUGUGCAACAAUCUCUCAAGAACAUCAAGGUAGAAGGGUGGGCAACAUAUGUGUUCAAGAAAAAAAACUAAAAAGAUUGAAGUUAGAGCUUAAAGAUGGAAUGUAUAGGUGUUUGGUGAUGUGAAAAAUAAACAAGGUUGUGUUGUUAAGGAGAUUAGAGACUUGGAUUCUAAAGAUGAGGUAAGACUUAUAACAAAGCAAGAGAAAGAUAUAAGGAAGAAAAUGGUAGAUGAAUUUGGGUGUCUAUCAAGAAGGCAUGAGUCAUUGUAGUAUCAAAAAUCCAUAGUAAGUUAGUUGAGAGAAGGGGAUGAAAACUCCAAGUUUUUUCACAAGGUGGUAAAUUGGCAUAAAAGAACACAUGUUUUGAAGGGGA
rnacentral:lncRNA from 1 species